UAGUGAGUUUGAUCCUGGCUCAGAACGAACGCUGGCGGCAGGCUUAACACAUGCAAGUCGAACGGGUGUAGCAAUACAUCAGUGGCAGACGGGUGAGUAACACGUGGGAACCUUCCUAGGGGUACGGAACAACUCGAGGGAAACUUGGACUAAUACCGUAUACGUCCGUGAGGAGAAAGAUUUAGUCGCCCUUAGACGGGUCCCGCGUCGGAUUAGCUAGUUGGUGGGGUAACGGCCUACCAAGGCGACGAUCCGUAGCUGAUCUUAGA
rnacentral:rRNA from 1 species